AUUCCCUAUAGUCUACUACUUUAGACCAGAGCCCUAUUCCCUAUAGUGUACUACUUUAGACCAGAGCCCUAUUCCCUAUAGUGUACUACUUUAGACCAGAGCCCUAUUCCCUAUAGUGUACUACUUUAGACCAGAGCCCUAUUCCCUAUAGUGUACUACUUUAGACCAGAGCCCUAUUCCCUAUAGUGUACUACUUUAGACCAGAGCCCUAUUCCCUGUAGUGUACUACUUUAGACCAGAGCCCUAUUCCCUAUAGUGUACUACUUUAGACCAGAGCCCUAUUCCCUAUAGUGUACUACUUUAGACCAGAGCCCUAUUCCCUAUAGUGUACUACUUUAGACCAGAGCCCUAUUCCCUAUAGUGUACUACUUUAGACCAGAACCCUAUGGCACCCUAUUCCCUGUAGUGUACUACUUUAGACCAGAACCCUAUGGCACCCUAUUCCCUGUAGUGUACUACUAUAGACCAGAGCCCUAUUCCCUGUAGUGUACUACUUUAGACCAGAGCCCUAUUCCCUAUAGUGUACUACUUUAGACCAGAGCCCUAUUCCCUAUAGUGUACUACUUUAGACCAGAGCCCUAUUCCCUGUAGUGUACUACUAUAGACCAGAGCCCUAUUCCCUGUAGUGUACUACUUUAGACCAGAGCCCUAUUCCCUAUAGUGUACUACUUUAGACCAGAACCCUAUGGCACCCUAUUCCCUGUAGUGUACUACUAUAGACCAGAGCCCUAUUCCCUGUAGUGUACUACUUUAGACCAGAGCCCUAUUCCCUAUAGUGUACUACUUGUAUUUUUAUUCAUAUUUAUUUAACUAGGUAAGUAAAUUAAGAACAAAUUCUUAUUUACAAUGAUGGCCAAAACCGGACGACGCUGAGCCAAUUGUGUGCCGCCCUUUGGGACUCCCAAUCGCGGCCGGUUGUGAUACAGCCUGGAAUCGAACCAGGGUCUGUAGUGACACCUCUAGCACUGAUAUGCAGUACCACUCGGGAGCCCAAUGGUCCCUGGUCAAAAGUAGUGCACUAUAUAGGGAAUAGGGUGCCAUUUUGAACAAAGAUAAUGGAAUAUACUAAUGAAAAUGUUACAAAAGAUGAAAAGGAAGUCAAUAAAGGGAUCUGGAAGAAGAAGAAGAAGUGGGAAUUCUUCCUCUGUGAUUGAUGUUAUCAGUGUUUCCAUAGAUCUGAGAAAUUACUUGUAGAAGAAAAAUAUAUAUAUAUUACCCGAGAGUAUCUUUUUCCUUUUGUUGUUGUUGCAUGGAUGGAUAUUUUUUUAAGAAUUAUAAUAUGACAUCUUUAUGACAACUUUGAAUGUGAGCUAUAAAACAUUUAUUUAAGAAAGAAA